ACAAAAAACAAAAGGCAUCAAGUUCUCAUUGAUCGAGCUCAGAACAUGCAUUGUACGCGUCUGUACAAUGUUAAUAGCUCACAAAACCACAAUCCCAAACUACAACACAGAGGCAGUAACUCAAUGGAUCGUAUCUUUCCCAAAACACCAACACAAACCCUUUCAAACUAAAACUGAAGAAUCACCAAGAUUCAACACACUCAAAUUCACCAGAAAACCAGAGGUUUACAGUCUAAAGAACAAGAAACACGAGGAAGAAUAAGAAAGGGCAGAGACACCAAGUCUCGAAGGAGAGAAGAGAAACCCUAGAAGGUUCUACACUGGAAGGACACCA
rnacentral:lncRNA from 1 species